rnacentral:rRNA from 1 species
GAAUUUUGGACAAUGGGGGCAACCCUGAUCCAGCCAUCCCGCGUGUGCGAUGAAGGCCUUCGGGUUGUAAAGCACUUUUGGCAGGGAAGAAAAGGCUCUGGCUAAUGCCUGGAUCUGCUGACGGUACCAGCAGCAUAAGCACCGGCUAAGCACGUGCCAGCAGCGGCGGUAAUACGGAGGGUGCAAGCGUGAAGCGGUAUUACUGGGCGUACGGCGUGCGCAGGCGGUUCGGCAAGAAGGAUGUGAAAUCCCAGGGCUUAACCUUGGAACUGCAUACUUAACUGCCGGGCUAGAGUAUGUCAGAGGGGGGUAGAAUUCCGCGUGUAGCAGUGAAAUGCGUAGAGAUGCGGAGGAAUACCGAUGGCGAAGGCAGCCCCCUGGGAUAAUACUGACGCUCAUGCACGAAAGCGUGGGGAGCAAA